rnacentral:tRNA from 1 species
GGGGAUGUAGCUUAGUGGUAGGGUGUUUGCCUAGCACGUAAGAAGUCCUGGGUUCAAUCCCCAGCUCUG